CGAAAUGGAAGUCCCAAACAUUCCCUGGUGACCCACGAAAUGGAGCGACGCACCCUGCUGGUUGUGCUGCUGGUGUGCGGCGCCUUGCUGGCCACCACCGCCGAGGCCUCGCCGGUGCCUGGGCCUGAGCCUGAGCCCUGGCGCGAUUCCUACACAAGACCAAGACCCCGACCCCGACCCUACUUCCCGCCACGCUGCUUGUGUGUCAAGGAACCCUGCCCGUGCUGACCUCCUCCACCGUGACCUGACCUUCGCCAUGCCCGCACGAACACCGCCGACGGACCACGGACAACUCUCAUCUUAUUCUUUCAUUGUAUUUACUCCUCAAUAAAGGCAUGCAGUUCUCCCGCAA